rnacentral:rRNA from 1 species
UACGUAGGGUGCGAGCGUUAAUCGGAAUUACUGGGCGUAAAGCGUGCGCAGGCGGUUUUGUAAGCCAGAUGGGAAAUCCCCGGGCUUAACCUGGGAAUGGCAUUUGGGACUGCAAGGCUGGAGUUUGGCAGAGGAGACUGGAAUUCCCGGUGUAGCAGUGAAAUGCGUAGAUAUCGGGAGGAAUACCGAUGGCGAAGGCGGGUCUCUGGGCUAUAACUGACGCUCAUGCACGAAAGCGUGGGGAGCAAACGGG